rnacentral:rRNA from 1 species
GAUGAACGCUGGCGGCGUGCCUAAUACAUGCAAGUCGAGCGAACAGACGAGGAGCUUGCUCCUCUGACGUUAGCGGCGGACGGGUGAGUAACACGUGGAUAACCUACCUAUAAGACUGGGAUAACUUCGGGAAACCGGAGCUAAUACCGGAUAAUAUAUUGAACCGCAUGGUUCAAUAGUGAAAGACGGUUUUGCUGUCACUUAUAGAUGGAUCCGCGCCGCAUUAGCUAGUUGGUAAGGUAACGGCUUACCAAGGCAACGAUGCGUAGCCGACCUGAGAGGGUGGUCGGCCACACUGGAACUGAGACACGGUCCAGACUCCUACGGGAGGCAGCAGUAGGGAAUCUUCCGCAAUGGGCGAAAGCCUGACGGAGCAACGCCGCGUGAGGGAUGAAGGUCUUCGGAUCGGAAAACUCUGUUAUUAGGGAAGAACAAAUGUGUAAGUAACUAUGCACGUCUUGACGGUACCUAAUCAGAAAGCCACGGCUAACUACGUG